ensembl:lncRNA
UUUAAAAAGUAGAAAAGAAAUUGAUCAUAUACCUCCCAUAGCUACAGGUAGGAGAUGUCUUCUUAACCAAAUAAGGAACAGAGACAAUUUCAAAAGAUUAUUGUAUCUUUAUAAUUUUAUUGUAACUUUGAUUCCAUGAAAUUGAAAAACUUGUACAAAGACAAAAUUAAUGCAUCUAGAAUAAGAAUUGAAGUGGCUGAAUGAGAAAAAAAUAUUUUUUGUAUCAGAUAUCUUGGAUAAAGGUUUGGUAUUCAAGAUAUGUAAAAAGUAAAAAAUAUAUGUAGCUGGAAGCCAUUGUCCAUUAGAUAAGUAAUUAAAGGAUAUGGAUAAAUAGUUCUCAAAAGAAGUAAAAGAAUUUACAACCACAUUAAAGGCGGCUCCAAAUCACUAAUAGUGAGAAAAAUGUAAACCAAAACAAUGUUGACAUAUCUCACACUCUGUAAAUAGGCAAAAAUGACAACAGUGUUCAAAGGGCUUAUAGAAACAUUAAUACAUUGCUGAUGAAGAUAUGAAAUGGUACAACCAUUUUGGAAACUAAUUUGAAUUAUGCAAAUGAAGUGAGUAAAAUGUCAAUAUUUUUGAACCAGAGACUCCAUACCUAGCUUUAUAUCUCAAGGGAGCUCUUCAUAAGAAGAAAAUCCCUAUACACACUAAAAUAUUUAUAGUAGUACUUUUUAAAGUAACAAAAAAUUGGAAACAAAAGUAGAGUCCAUCAACUAGUGGAUGGCAACAUAAAUUGUGGUAUAUGUGAAUAUAAUGGAAUAUUAUUCCAUUGUAAGAAAUGAUAUGUACAAAAAAAGAUUAUAGCAGUUUUCUUUGCCACCACAAAGAGAACGACUAUAAACUUUUUUUUGUACAUAUCAUUUCUAUUUUAUUCAUGUAGCUAUUUAGAGAUAUAAAUUUUUCCCUAAUAACUGCUUUGGCUGCAUCCCAUCGGUUUUGGUACGUUGUCUCAUUAUUGUCAUUCUCUUGGCUGCAUCCCAUCGGUUUUGGUAUGUUGUCUCAUUAUUGUCAUUCUCUUGGAUGAAAUUAUGGAUUGUUUCUGUGAUUUGUUGUGUACGUGAUUGUGUAUAGGUGAAUAUAAUGGAAUAUUAUUCCAUUGUAAGAAAUGUUAUGUACAAAAAAAGUUUAUAGCAGUUCUCUUUGUGGUGGCAAAGAAUUGAUGGGCGUACCAUCAUCAACUGGGGAACGGCUGAACAAAUUGUAUUAUAUGAAUUUCUGCAAGAAAUGAUGAUCAGGCUGAUUUCAGAAAAACUUAAGACUUAGAUGAACUGAUGCCGAGUGAAGUGAGUAGAACCAGGAGAACAUUGUACAUAGAUAAUAACAGCAACAUUUUGCCAUGAUCAACUAUGAUAGAAUUCGCCCUUCUCAGCAACACAGUGAUCCAAGACAAUUCCAACAGACUUGGGAGAGCAAUGCCAUCUGCAUCCAGAGAGAGAACCAUGGAGACUUAACGAGGAUUGAAACAUAGUAUUUUCACUUUUUUUUCCUUUUUCAUGGUUUUCCCUUUUUAGUUUGAUUCUUCUUUCACAAUACAACUUAAUGUGGAAAUAUUUUUAAUAUAAUUGCACCGUAUAAUCUAUAACAGAUUGUUUGUCAUUUUGGAGAAGGGAGGAAGAAAAAUAGAAAUCAAAAUCUUAUCAAAGUAAACGUUGAAAACUAUCUUAAAAUGUCAUUGGAAAAGAAUACAAUUGAGUGGGGAGAAAAUGAUGAAAAAUAUGGGAAAUUCUCCACCAACCGAUGCAGAACGAAGUAAACAGUCAAGGAAACAAUAUGCACCGUGUAAAUGGAAAAGAACAAGCCCAUAUAAAAAAUCUAAAGUGAAUGCAACUAAACCAGACAAUUCAAAUGAGAGAACUCGGAGAGGACCCCUCUCACUUACCUCUUCAUGGAGGUCAUUUCACGGGCUCAUUUUUUGUUUUCCUCUUGUUUUAAAAACAUUACUUUUUAAUAAGGGAUGACUUUGGGAAGAGGUGAGGGAGGGGCAUCGGGGCAACUAUGAUGCAAAAAAAAAAAAAAAGAAGGGAUGAUGAAAACAUUUUUAAGAGCGUUCCUUUUUUGGAGAAUGGAAUGAACUUGCCGGGGUCCCCAGCUUUCCGGCCCUGGACGAGGCACGCCCGCGCAUUUCCCCUCUCUCAUCCCUAAAGAUGGCAUUCUGUGAGUUUCUCCGUCCGAAACGGGAGCUUGGAGGAUCCAGCCGCGAUGCUAUUCGGGAGACGGGAGUCACAGAGCAUCCGGUCUGGGGCCGAGCCCCCAAACUGAGGGGUGGGGGAGGGGGAAGGAACGGCCCCCUGUUGUGCCCGCGGCACUAACCAAGAGCUUCUCAGCCAUCCCCGCAGGCCGCGGGUCCGAGGACGUCCGCCCCCGUCCCUUCCCGUGCCUCAGUGUCCCCGUCAAUGCAGCAACGUCCCCAGGGCUCCUCGUUGUUCCAGCGCCGCAGGGGCCUGUGGGAAAACAGGGUCGGCCGCGCUCGGGUGGUCGGCCUUGUCCACCCUCUCCGCUCCCACUGGUCCACUCUGCCCUGGGC